GAGAUUAAAAAGCUACACUCUGUUGUGCUUAGAUCAAACGCCUGUUAUUCGGCAGAGGUAAUUAACCUUUAAAGUGCUGGCGGUUUUUUUUUUUAAUUAUUAUUAUUUCCUUUUUGGAAUCUUCAGCUUUUAAAGGAAUCUUCCAAAGCUUUCUUUGAUGUUACACAUUUCCAACACCCGUAACAGCAUCUCCGAGGGUCGGUCAAUGGAGGCUUGAGCUCUUGAAAGCUUUCCUUUUGUUCUCUCCCCCUCCCCUUCUACGUUUCCCUCUCUUGACUUUCUUUUAAACAGAGUUGGGAAUGAAACAGCAGACAGAUAACCCACCAGAGCGAGACAGACACCAGAUGCCAGGUCUUCCAACAAGAUGUCAGUAUAUUAAAGAUAAUGCAGCGAUUCUUGCACUAUCUUUAAUUUGGACUUCGGGGAUGCCAUGCCAUCAGCAACCUGGCAUGACAGAGAGGAUGUCUGCUGGUCUUGCCAGGAUGUUGGCAAGAUGCCACCGCUGUCACCUUCUCUGAUGGGGUUAUCCUUUGAUCUAUCUACUGAAGCCUUGAAUCAAGAUGCUAUCUUUGGCCUUCAAAGCCCUAAACAUCUUGGAGACCAUCCAGUGAAUCUUGGAAAUAGUGGUCUGAACAUAUCAUUCCACUUUUGUCAACAGUUGAAGACAAAGCAGUAAAGCAGUUGAAGACAAUAAACGCCUCUUACAAAAUUUUGUACUGGUAUUC
rnacentral:lncRNA from 1 species